rnacentral:ncRNA from 2 species
UACGAAGGGGGCUAGCGUUGUUCGGAAUUACUGGGCGUAAAGCGCACGUAGGCGGACUUGUCAGUCAGGGGUGAAAUCCCGAGGCUUAACCUCGGAACUGCCUUUGAUACUGCAAGUCUUGAGGAUGAGAGAGGUGAGUGGAACUGCGAGUGUAGAGGUGAAAUUCGUAGAUAUUCGCAAGAACACCAGUGGCGAAGGCGGCUCACUGGCUCAUUUCUGACGCUGAGGUGCGAAAGCGUGGGGAGCAAACAGG